rnacentral:lncRNA from 1 species
GGUUAGUGCCCGGGAAUGCAUCUUUAGACACGGACCCUUGGAGAGCACCUCUCCGCGGAGGCCUCGGGGCACAGGGCAGUUAGAAAGGGACCGAGAUGAAGGAGACGGAGCCCUGCUUCCGGGGCCUUGCGGGGGAGAGAGAAGACACACCGCCUAUCCGCAAGUGGAAAUAUAAAAGGAGAAAAGACCUGGGGGAGCAUUUUGCUGGGCUACGCGUGCAAGUAGCCGUAACACGAGGUUGAAUUUGGAAGGUGCCCCAAGGAAGUUUCCUUAGCAACUUUUUAUAAUGUAAAUGAAUCGAGGAAUGAAGGAAAUGUGCUAUGGAAGCAUAUCUGUGUGUAUAUGAGGGGACAGGUUUAUUUUAAUGUCUUUUUGUAUGUCCGCUUAUGUGUGUUUGGGAGGAUAUAUAGGAGUAUACGUGUGUGUCUUGAGCGAUGUAUGUAUAUGUAUGUUCAUGUAUAUAAACACAGUGAUAGUUGUAUAUGAGUUUGUGUGCCUGGAAUGAGCCUCUGUGUUUGCACAGGUGUUUAUCUUUAUGUCCCUAAAUGUUAAGUAUGUGCGUCUACAUGAGAUUUAUGGACUUUCCUGAGUUUGUAUUUAAUCUGUGUAUGUAGGUGAAUGUGUGGGUUUGCGUACGUGACUGCAUACCUUGGGUAUGUAUUGCUUUCCUGUGCCAGUGGUGGGUAUGUGUGUGUGUAUGUGGGACUACGUGUGUCUUGGUGAGAUUGUGGUAUGAUUGUGUGUGUGUAUAUGGGAAUACGUUAAUGAGUCUGUGAACAGAGCUGGAGUGUGUCUUGAGGUUAUGUGUGUGUGUGUGUGUGACAGAUGAGAACAGAUGUGUUUUUCAGAGUCUGUGGAUGUGACUGUGUGUGUGUCUUGAUGUAUCUCUGGAGCCGUGAUUCAGUCUGUGAUGAGGGCCUGGGAUUCUUAAGGGUUGGGCUGGUUAAGGCGUUUCUUAGAGGAGGAGGUCCUUGGGGGGAGUGGGGACUGUGGAGAUAGGAAAAGCCUGGGGUGUGCUGGCCCAGGGACUCUCCAGGCUGGCGAUGUAGGCUGAAGCAAGGCAGAAGCUUUUAAUGCCGGAACCAGUUAUGGCGCCUCCUCUGCUUUCCUCCACCCUCUCACAUGCUAGGUCUGCUCCUCUGGUGGCCUCCUUCGGGUCCACCUUGUCAGUGGUCUUCUGCAGAGCGCAUGUCCUUGGUCAUUAACAGUAGCAACAUUACAGAGCACCUACUGUGUGUCUGCCCUGGAAAGCACUGAACUUGGUUCGCCCCUAGGAGGCAGGAACUUAGUAUCCCCCAUUUUCUGGGGGGAAACUGAGGAGGUGUGGUGCCUGUUCCUGGUUACACAGCUGGCGUGGGUGCCUCACACCCCACAGGCUGUGUGCCCGUUCAACUGCUCCACCAGGGUCUCUCAGCCCCGGCACUGCUGACAUUAGGGGCCACAUGAUCCAGCGUUGUAGGGGCCGGUCCUGUGCACUGUAGGAUGUUCAGCAGCAUCCCUUCCCUCUACCCACGAGAUGCCAGUUGUGAUCCCUCCCCAGCUGUGACAACCAAAAUAUCUCUCUAUAUUUCUAAAUGUCCCCUGGGGACAAAAAUCACCCCUGCUUGGGAGCCAGUGGGCUAGACUCUCCUGCCUCCCUGGAUGAAUGCUUUCUGAGGGGCGGCACCAUCCCCACCCUGUCCAGUGGCUUCCACGGUCCCUCUGCUUCCACACUGAUCGUCACUUCCAUGCAGGUAGCCCCUUGCCUCUCCCACGGUCAAACAGCAGGCUUACCAGCUGGGCCACCUUUCCCAGAAACUCAACUUCUUUGAGCCCCAGCCAUAGGAAGCACAGGGCUCAGGAGAUACCUCUAUAGCCCUUAUUAUUAUCCCUUGAGUCACGGGGGUUCCCUGGGGUCAGAGCCAAGAGGAAGAGGGCUGCAAGCCAGCUGCCCUCUCUGGUCCAGAGCUUUGGACUCUGCUGGUUCUGCGAGUUUGCUUUUCUGGUUCAGCGAGAAGAAAACAAUGCUGUGGUGUGGGGCCAAAGCUGGCCCCAUUUGAUGCUAUCAUAUUUAUGCUAUUUCAUCUUUGCAAUAAAACUGCCUGACUUUCCCCACCAGCAGAACCUGAUUUUAGUGAGCCAGUGCUGCACUGUACACAGGGCAGGUGCUCAGGAAGGGCAAGGCGGAGCCGUCAGCAGCGCUCUCGGCAUCUGAACCUGGGCCGGGCUCCAGCAGGGUGUCCAUGCUGCGGCAGGGCCAGCUGGCCACCAUGGCGUGGCCCGGGAGAGCCUGGGCGGCACGUAGAGGGAGUGCCGUGGCUCUGCACACGAGCAGGAGGCCUGAGUCUCCUGCUACAAACAGGAUGCAGGUGACAAAGCCCACGGGGGACUUCCAUGCCACCCCUGUCUCUGCCACUCGGGAAACUCUCUUCCCAUCUUGACUCUGUCCCUUUGCUUCACCAUCCCUCCCUCCGCUCUUCUGUUCUCGUGCAAUCCCUGCAGUGUCCCUGAUGUGUACCAGGCCCUUGCUCCAUCCCCUCGGGAGGCUUCAGAGCAAAGUGGUUAAGGGUGAGGCCUCUGCCACCUCAUCACCUGAGUCUCUGUGGUCUUGGGCAAGGCACUUCACCUCUCUGUGCCUCAGCUUCCUCAGUUCUAACAUGGGCACACAAAGAGGCCCUAUCUGGCAGGAUUAAAUGAGAUACUCCGUGUAAAGGAUGCUAGGCGUGUAGUAAGCCCUUAAUAAAUUGCAGCUGCCAUUAUUGCUAUUAUGCUUGAUUGACAGUGAAAUGCAAAUGAGCCCUUACGAAUUGCCAGGCAAUGUGCUAAGCCCUGGACAAUUCUUUUCUCAUUGAUGCUCUGCAGCUCUAGGAGGAAGGUGCUUUUAUUAGCCUCACAGCAGGGAAGAGGAAGCUGAGGUCCAGGGAGGUUAAGUAACUUACCAGAGUGACAGCGCUGAGAAUCUGAACCAGUGUUGUCCCUGCAAAGCCCAGCUGCCCUGAUCUCCUCUGAAAGCAGAUUUCCCCUGGGAAGGAGGGGCUCGUCUCCAGCCUGCGUCUCCCGGGGCAAUUGGAGAGGCCUGGAGAAGAAGGCAGUGAGGGGCCUGGGCAGGAGGAGGGGUUUGGCUCAGAGAGAGUGAAGUUUCUCUUGUUCAGCUUUUGAUGAAAUCACCUAGCACGGUGGGCUGUGGAGUCAUGACCUCCAAGAGGUGUUGCCAAGUUUUUACCAGUGAGUAAAGUUUAUUAUAAGCCAGGGUGUACGUUGUUCCAGUGCUUUUUGUUUGAAUUGGACCGUAGGGCAGAGGCAGACAGGUAUUGCCGUGCUACGUACGAGUCAGAGGACAGACGGGGGGAGGCCCGUUUUAGAGCUGAUGCCAGAGGAAGACAGUGUGUUUACCGGCAACGGUGAGAACUUGGCCAGUUCCUGUGGAUCAGGAAGUCAGAAGUGACUUAGCUGUGUAGACUCUGGCCUGGAUUCUUUCCUGAAGUUGCAAUCAAGAUGCCAGCCAGGUCUGAAAUCAUCUGAAGGCUUGUCUGGAGCUGGGGAGUCCCCUUCCAAGAUGGCUCGCUCGCAUGGCUGUUGGCGGGAGCCUCAGCUCUUCGCCAUGAGGACCACUCUAUGGGGCUGCUUGAGCAUCCUCACACCAUGGAGAUGGGCUUCCCCCAGAGCAAGGGAGAGCAAGGUGGAAGCCACAUUGUGUUUUAUACCUAGCUCCAGAAGUCAUGCACCAUGGUUUCCUGAAUAGCUUGUUGUUUACACGAGUCAGCCCUGCUGGGAGGGGACCACACAAGGAAGUGAAUACGAGGAGCUGAAAAUCAUGGGGCCAUGUUGGAGGUGGGCUAUCACACUGGUAAUCAUUGUUGACUUGUUUACUAUUAUUUGGAAGAUUCUGGAUCUCAAAUCAAAUCCAGUGUUCAAAAGUGGGCUGCGAACACAAAAAAGUUGGGAGCUGCUCAUCCAAUGGCUUCAUUUCAUCUGUAUCUGCCUGUGGGGUCCCCUGGGGGGCCAUGACUCCAGCAGUGUCCCAAGAUGACCCCAUCAGAAAUAAACCUCUACCAUCCCAUGACACUGAAAGCCUGUUAUCUGUGCCAGGUGCCAGCAAAGCACAGAUGCAUAGGAAGAAGCAGGAACUUUGCAGCCAGACGGAACUGUGUUCAAAUCCUGACUCCCCUCUUGAUGACCUGGGGACUCUGGACGAUUGGCUUAACCUCUCUGAGCCUGAGUGUGGUCGGGUGUAAAAUGGAUUGAGAUCAACUUCACAGGGUCGUUAGGGAGAUGAAAUACAGGAUGACAGAGCAAUGAUAAUAGGAGUCAGGUGAUCUGCCAAUGUUGACCCCUAGAUUUAUUAUUCAUACUGAUAACAAUAAAAUAAUAAUAAUAGCUCACAUUUAUUGACCUCCUAUUAUUGUCAGUCUCUGAAGCUUAAAGCAGUUAAGAACUUUGUCCAAAACACACUGCUGGGAGAGCUGAGACCCACACUCAGUUCUGUCUCUCUCCAAAGCGAAACUGUGUGACAACAAGCUCUUUUCUUAAUAACGGUCUGCAAUGAUCUACACAUUAUGUGGUUCUACCGCCUUCCUUUUCCUCUGUCUCUUUUUUGGCCACUUAGUAGUAUAAGGACGUACCAUAAUUGGUCAAUGAUUUCCCCUGUUGUUGGAUACUCAGUUUCUGCUUUCCACUAUUAACAGUGGGGCGUCAGCGAGCAUCUUUGCUGUGCAGGUGUUUGCCCAGGGCUCACCACAUGCCAGGGGCUGCGCUAAGCACUUGAUGUGUGUCCCACAUUUAAUCCUCCACCAGCCUGAGGACACCCAGCUAGGAAAUGACACUUUCAGGCUCUUACUUGUCUAAUAGAGUGCCUUUUAAGGGUUGAGAGUCCCUUACCUUCUCCAUCCUGAAGAUCUUCCUUCCAAUAGGGCCCCCAAGGAGUGCCUGUGUUUUCCCUGCAGCAGGUGCAUGAGAGACCAGAGGGCUUGGAGUCUGCAAACCCGGGUUUAACAAAAGGACAGCUCUUGACGGGUUACCACCAGGCUCACAGCAGCCAGGGCUCACCAGAUGUGGCCCUGCAUCAGUCAGGAAAGGCCAGGUUAUGCUGUGGUAACAAACGAUCCCAAGAGAGUGGCUUAAAACAUCCAUUGUGGGAAUGUGAUGGGCUCCGUUUUACGUUGCCCUUACUCUGGGCCCCAACUUGAUAGAGCAGCCAUGGGCGUGAUCACCGCCAGUCACCAUUCCAGGAGGCCAGAGGGCAUGUAGGCAAUUGCGCGCUGGAUCCUAAAGCUUUGCCUGGAAGGGACUCGUUCCUUCCUCUCACUUUGCUUUUUUGAUAAAGCAAGUCAUAUAGGCAUGCUUAACCCCGAAAGGACAUGUGCCCCCAGUGGAGAGAACUGUAAUAUUUGGUGAGCGGCACUGAUGACCACCACAGGCUGUGUCCUCUGCUGACCAUUGAGAAAGAGGCUGACAAUCCUAACCACAUUUUAGAACAAUUGAGUCCAGGCCAGAAGUGCCCUUAGCAUUCUUUCCCCAGGAAAGACCCCUGCCUCUAAACCCCGUCGUGCCCACACCAUGAAGCCCA